UCAUGGACUCAUGAAAGUGUUUGCUUCCUCCUAUAUAUCUGAUAUAUCCCCAAAAUCUUUUCUCUCUCUCCAUAGGCCUUUCCCAAAAGAGAUAUAUGUCACACUUUGGAAUUUCACUUCUCAUGCAGGCAUGAAGUUAUUCUGUCACCAAUUAGACCAGAAGGAGCAGAACCAGGAGAACAUUGUACAGAGACUGAUACGCUGUGAUACAAUUGAAUGUAAUGGACUUCUCCAUUAGUGGCAACACAUUGAUCCUGAACAACUUGGAGGAAUCUACCAGAAAGAACAUUAUCCACAUUCAGAGGAAAAACUGUGGAAGUAGAAACACAAAAGAAAAACAACUGCUUGGUCACAUGGGUCGAGGGGGAUAUGAUUAGGGAUGUAGACUCUAAAUGAACAUCCUAAUGCAAACACCAACAACUUAGAAAUAGGUUCUGAUCAAGGACACAAGAAAUACCCAAUGAAACUGCGUGUCAGCUGUGGGAAGGAUGGGAGGAGGGAAGGAGGGAAAUAAUGUGAUUCUUGUAACCAAG
rnacentral:lncRNA from 1 species